rnacentral:lncRNA from 1 species
AGAUCCCAUACAACAGAGGCAGUUCCACAGCUUCCUCUCACCAGUUGUCAGCUCAGCCCUUGCAUUCUGACUCCCUCUUCAGGCCGCGGCUGGUAUCUCUGGACCUGAGCUGGUCUGGCUUCCAAGGACAGCGGGCCCUAGUGGAUGCCCUGGCCACCCUGCCUUGCCUGAGGACCUUGGUGCUGGAGGGCAACCCCCUUACCCUCACCCCUUCCUACCCAGGCUUCAUCCUCGACAGCCUCCCGCGGCUGCUCUACCUGGAUGCCACACGGGUCACACCGGAUGAUCACCAUCGCUUUGAAGGCCUGGCCAAGAUGAAAGACCGGAUAGUGGACCAGGCCAUGGCAACAGUGACAGUGCGAAGGAUCAGGGGUGUUCCGGACCCACUGCUGACUGUGGAUGAGAGUGUCCCUGAGUUCCCUGUGGUCAGCUACAGCUACUUUGUCAACUAUGAGUUCCUCAGCCAAUCACCCCCUGGCAACAAGGCAUGAUAUCCCAUUUUUCUGUUUAGUCAUUCAACUUAAUUGAUUGUCAUAUUACAAUCUAGUUAUUGAUUGGUCACAGCAGGCUGGCAGUGACACUGCAUCCACAUCUGAUCCAAUGGCACCCAUAGCGGAGAAGAUGGAUGGGGGCAUCGUUGGUAUCUAUCAGACACCAAAAGAGAACUGUGCGGAGGAAACAACCAACACUCCAAAACCAGACACCACAGUCAGGACAAUGGAGAGUUUGGAAACUAACCAUUGUUCCAUUGAUGUGAUAAUGAACAGCACACAUAAACUGGCAUGGGCAGAGUCCAUGGACUAUGACCACACAAGUGUGCAUAGUGUUGGUGACCUGGGGUCCUUCAAGUCCUUUGUCCUUCGUGGGCUCUGGUUGACUGUGGAGGAGGAGAAGGUACAGAACAAAAUAUACACUCUGCACCAUGCAAACAAAGACAGUUCACAUACUCCCACACCCACAUACUGAGUACUCUAGAUGCUUAGAUUUAUGUUUAGGUUGAUGCAUGGAUGUCUUGUGAGGAUUGAGUUAUUGUUAUCUGACUAUUAUUUGGCUUUUUUUAAGGUCCUCUCAUGGCCUGCCCCUUCAGGAGAACAGCCAAUAACCAAAUCUACAACAGAAAAGAAAGGGGGGAAAGAGGUGAUGUUACACAAUUUGUAAUUUUACUUCUGGGUAAACGAGCUUAUACAAUUUAACAGUCCUUAUAGUCUGGUGAUGGAAAAGCUCUCAACAAUGUCAUUUUUUCAGAGGGGUUAAUAGUUUCACUGAACAGCUGAUAAACCUUUUCCUUGUUAGUGACACCGUAUCACAUGCCAU